UACAGAGGUCCCAAGCGUUGUUCGGAUUCACUGGGCGUAAAGGGAGCGUAGGCGGACAGUUUAGUCAGAGGUGAAAGCCCAGGGCUCAACCCUGGAAUUGCCUUUGAUACUGAUUGUCUUGAGUAUGGGAGAGGUGUGUGGAACUCCGAGUGUAGAGGUGAAAUUCGUAGAUAUUCGGAAGAACACCAGUGGCGAAGGCGACACACUGGCCCAUUACUGACGCUGAGGCUCGAAAGCGUGGGGAGCAAACAGG
rnacentral:rRNA from 1 species